UACGGAGGGUGCAAGCGUUGUCCGGAAUCACUGGUCGUAAAGGGCGCGUAGGCGGCCUGGUAAGUAGGGGGUGAAAUCCUGCGGCUUAACCGCAGGGCUGCCUUCUAAACUGUCAGGCUUGAGCACGGUAGAGGCAGAUGGAAUUCCCGGUGUAGCGGUGGAAUGCGUAGAGAUCGGAAAGAACACCAACGGCGAAAGCACUCUGCUGGGCCGACACUGACACUGAGAGACGAAAGCUAGGGGAGCAAAUGGG
rnacentral:rRNA from 1 species